AUUGAACGCUGGCGGCAGGCCUAACACAUGCAAGUCGAGCGGAUGACGGGAGCUUGCUCCUUGAUUCAGCGGCGGACGGGUGAGUAAUGCCUAGGAAUCUGCCUGGUAGUGGGGGACAACGGUUCGAAAGGAACGCUAAUACCGCAUACGUCCUACGGGAGAAAGCAGGGGACCUUCGGGCCUUGCGCUAUCAGAUGAGCCUAGGUCGGAUUAGCUAGUUGGCGGGGUAAUGGCUCACCAAGGCGACGAUCCGUAACUGGUCUGAGAGGAUGGUCAGUCACACUGGAACUGAGACACGGUCCAGACUCCUACGGGAGGCAGCAGUGGGGAAUAUUGGACAAUGGGCGAAAGCCUGAUCCAGCCAUGCCGCGUGUGUGAAGAAGGUCUUCGGAUUGUAAAGCACUUUAAGUUGGGAGGAAGGGCAGUAAGUUAAUACCUUGCUGUUUUGACGUUACCGACAGAGUAAGCACCGGCUAACUCUGUGCCAGCCGCCGCAGUAAGAC
rnacentral:rRNA from 1 species